rnacentral:rRNA from 1 species
UUAAGCGACUAAGCGUACACGGUGGAUGCCCUGGCAGUCAGAGGCGAUGAAGGACGUGCUAAUCUGCGAAAAGCGUCGGUAAGGUGAUAUGAACCGUUACAGCCGGCGAUGUCCGAAUGGGGAAACCCAGUGCAAUUCGUUGCACUAUCGUUAACUGAAUACAUAGGUUAACGAGGCGAACCGGGGGAACUGAAACAUCUAAGUACCCCGAGGAAAAGAAAUCAACCGAGAUUCCCCCAGUAGCGGCGAGCGAACGGGGAGCAGCCCAGAGUCUGAAUCAGCUUGUGUGUUAGUGGAACGGUCUGGAAAGUCCGACGGUACAGGGUGAUAGUCCCGUACACCAAAAUGCACAGGCUGUGAACUCGAAGAGUAGGGCGGGACACGUGGUAUCCUGUCUGAAUAUGGGGGGACCAUCCUCCAAGGCUAAAUACUCCUGACUGACCGAUAGUGAACCAGUACCGUGAGGGAAAGGCGAAAAGAACCCCGGCGAGGGGAGUGAAAAAGAACCUGAAACCGUGUACGUACAAGCAGUGGGAGCACCUUCGGGUGUGACUGCGUACCUUUUGUAUAAUGGGUCAGCGACUUAUAUUCUGUAGCAAGGUUAACCGUAUAGGGGAGCCGCAGGGAAACCGAGUCUUAACUGGGCGUUAAGUUGCAGGGUAUAGACCCGAAACCCGGUGAUCUAGCCAUGGGCAGGUUGAAGGUUGGGUAACACUAACUGGAGGACCGAACCGACUAAUGUUGAAAAAUUAGCGGAUGACUUGUGGCUGGGGGUGAAAGGCCAAUCAAACCGGGAGAUAGCUGGUUCUCCCCGAAAGCUAUUUAGGUAGCGCCUCGUGAAUUCAUCUUCGGGGGUAGAGCACUGUUUCGGCUAGGGGGUCAUCCCGACUUACCAACCCGAUGCAAACUACGAAUACCGAAGAAUGUUAUCACGGGAGACACACGGCGGGUGCUAACGUCCGUCGUGAAGAGGGAAACAACCCAGACCGCCAGCUAAGGUCCCAAAGUCAUGGUUAAGUGGGAAACGAUGUGGGAAGGCACAGACAGCCAGGAUGUUGGCUUAGAAGCAGCCAUCAUUUAAAGAAAGCGUAAUAGCUCACUGGUCGAGUCGGCCUGCGCGGAAGAUGUAACGGGGCUAAACCAUGCACCGAAGCUGCGGCAGCGACACUAUGUGUUGUUGGGUAGGGGAGCGUUCUGUAAGCCUGCGAAGGUGACCUGUGAGGGUUGCUGGAGGUAUCAGAAGUGCGAAUGCUGACAUAAGUAACGAUAAAGCGGGUGAAAAGCCCGCUCGCCGGAAGACCAAGGGUUCCUGUCCAACGUUAAUCGGGGCAGGGUGAGUCGACCCCUAAGGCGAGGCCGAAAGGCGUAGUCGAUGGGAAACAGGUUAAUAUUCCUGUACUUGGUGUUACUGCGAAGGGGGGACGGAGAAGGCUAUGUUAGCCGGGCGACGGUUGUCCCGGUUUAAGCAUGUAGGCUGAUUAUCCAGGCAAAUCCGGAUAAUCAAGGCUGAGGUGUGAUGACGAGGCACUACGGUGCUGAAGUAACAAAUGCCCUGCUUCCAGGAAAAGCCUCUAAGCAUCAGGUAACAUCAAAUCGUACCCCAAACCGACACAGGUGGUCAGGUAGAGAAUACCAAGGCGCUUGAGAGAACUCGGGUGAAGGAACUAGGCAAAAUGGUGCCGUAACUUCGGGAGAAGGCACGCUGGUGUGUAGGUGAAGUCCCUGCGGAUGGAGCUGAGACCAGUCGAAGAUACCAGCUGGCUGCAACUGUUUAUUAAAAACACAGCACUGUGCAAACACGAAAGUGGACGUAUACGGUGUGACGCCUGCCCGGUGCCGGAAGGUUAAUUGAUGGGGUUAUCCGUAAGGAGAAGCUCUUGAUCGAAGCCCCGGUAAACGGCGGCCGUAACUAUAACGGUCCUAAGGUAGCGAAAUUCCUUGUCGGGUAAGUUCCGACCUGCACGAAUGGCGUAAUGAUGGCCAGGCUGUCUCCACCCGAGACUCAGUGAAAUUGAACUCGCUGUGAAGAUGCAGUGUACCCGCGGCAAGACGGAAAGACCCCGUGAACCUUUACUAUAGCUUGACACUGAACAUUGAGCCUUGAUGUGUAGGAUAGGUGGGAGGCUUUGAAGCGUGGACGCCAGUCUGCGUGGAGCCAACCUUGAAAUACCACCCUUUAAUGUUUGAUGUUCUAACGUUGGCCCCUUACCGGGGUUGCGGACAGUGUCUGGUGGGUAGUUUGACUGGGGCGGUCUCCUCCCAAAGCGUAACGGAGGAGCACGAAGGUUAGCUAAUCCUGGUCGGACAUCAGGAGGUUAGUGCAAUGGCAUAAGCUAGCUUGACUGCGAGCGUGACGGCGCGAGCAGGUGCGAAAGCAGGUCAUAGUGAUCCGGUGGUUCUGAAUGGAAGGGCCAUCGCUCAACGGAUAAAAGGUACUCCGGGGAUAACAGGCUGAUACCGCCCAAGAGUUCAUAUCGACGGCGGUGUUUGGCACCUCGAUGUCGGCUCAUCACAUCCUGGGGCUGAAGUAGGUCCCAAGGGUAUGGCUGUUCGCCAUUUAAAGUGGUACGCGAGCUGGGUUUAGAACGUCGUGAGACAGUUCGGUCCCUAUCUGCCGUGGGCGCUGGAGAAUUGAGGGGGGCUGCUCCUAGUACGAGAGGACCGGAGUGGACGCAUCACUGGUGUUCGGGUUGUCAUGCCAAUGGCACUGCCCGGUAGCUAAAUGCGGAAGAGAUAAGUGCUGAAAGCAUCUAAGCACGAAACUUGCCCCGAGAUGAGUUCUCCCUGAGACUUUAAGUCUCCUGAAGGAACGUUAAAGACGAUGACGUUGAUAGGCCGGGUGUGUAAGCGCAGCGAUGCGUUGAGCUAACCGGUACUAAUGAACCGUGAGGCUUAACCUU